GCGAAGGAUACCAAGGGCACACGGUGGAUGCCUUGGCACAGGAAGCCGACGAAGGACGCGACAAGCCGCGAUAGUCCACGGCCAGGGGCACAUGCCCGCACGAGCCGUGGGUCUCCGAAUGGGAGAACCCGCCGGGACUUGAGGCCCGGCGCCCGCCCGCAGAACACAUACGCGGGCGGGGGGCAACCGGGGGAACUGAAACAUCUAAGUACCCCGAGGAAGAGAAAUCAAACGAGAUUCCCCGAGUAGUGGCGAGCGAAAGGGGACCUAGGCCAAACCGGCGCGCUGGCGACAGCCGCCGGGGUUGUGGGGCCUACCACAUGGCAGUAAGAAAGGCGCGAGGCAGCGGAACGGCCUGGGAGGGCCGGCGAGACAGGGUCACAGCCCCGUACGCGAAGCCCCGCGCCCUGCCGGUGGGCACCCGAGUACCGCCGGACACGUGAAACCCGGUGGGAAGCAGGGGGGACCACCCUCCAAGCCUGAACACUCUCCUGUGACCGAUAGUGGACCAGUACCGUGAGGGAAAGGUGAAAAGCACCCCGGGAGGGGAGUGAAACAGCACCUGAAACCGCGUGCCCACAAGCAGUCGGAGCAGCCCUCGUGGCUGUGACGGCGUGCCUUUUGUAGAAUGAGCCAGCGAGUUGCGGUGCGCGGCGAGGUUUAGCCGCGAAGCGAGCCGUAGCGAGAGCGAGUCCGAACAGGGCGAGCAGUCGCGCGCCGCAGACGCGAAGCCGGGUGAGCUAUCCACGGGCAGGCUGAAGCGGGGGUAAGACCCCGUGGAGGGCCGAACCCACCUAGGUUGAAAACUGGGGGGAUGACCCGCGGAUAGGGGUGAAAGGCCUAUCAAACCCGGAGAUAUCUCGUUCUCCCCGAAAUAGCUUUAGGGCUAGCCUCGGGCGCUUACCCUGGGGGGUAGAGCACCGGAUGGCCGCGGGGGCCUCACCGCCUACCAAAGCCAACCGAACUCCGAAUACCCAGGGCCCGGAGCCCGGGAGUCAGAACAUGUGGGCUAAGCUGUGUGUUCGAGAGGGAAACAGCCCAGACCGCCCGCCAAGGCCCCCAAGUCCGUGCCGAGUGGCAAAGGAUGUGCGUCUGCCCAGACAACCAGGAUGUUGGCUCAGAAGCAGCCACCCAUUCAAAGAGUGCGUAACAGCUCACUGGUCGAGUGGACAUGCGCCGACAAUAUACGGGGCUAAGCACGGCGCCGAAGCGGCGGACCGGACCCAGUCCGGUGGUAGGGGAGCUUCCCGUCAGGGGCGAAGCCGGGGGACGACCCCCGGUGGACCUGCCGGGAGUGAGGAUGCUGGCAUGAGUAGCGAGAGCGGCGUGACGAAACGCCGCCGCCGUGAACCCAAGGUUUCCUGGGCAAGGCUAAUCCUCCCAGGGUCAGUCGGGGGCUAAGGCGAGGCCGGAAGGCGUAGCCGACGCAUGGCAGGUCGACAUUCCUGCACCCCCGUGGUGGCGCUACGACCGAUGGGGCGACGGAGGAGGGUAGCUCGGCGGGGUUCUGGACGUCCCCGCGAUGGCGCGUAGGGCGGCACCUUGCGAAGCGCGGGUGCCACGUGCCCGAGGCGCCGGACGAAGCGACUUGAGCGAAGCGAGUGAGCCCAUGCUCCCGAGAAAAACCCCUAGGCAGCCGCCCGGGGCCCGUACCGCAAACCGACACAGGUGGGUGGGUAGAGUAUACCAAGGCGAUCGGGAGAACCAUGGUUAAGGAACUCGGCAAAAUCACCCCGUAACUUCGGGAGAAGGGGUGCCGCCUCGGGUGAUGGGACCCAGCUCCCGGAGCCCCGGGCGGCCGCAGCGAAUAGGUCCAAGCGACUGUUUACCAAAAACACAGGACUCUGCUGAAGCCGUAAGGCGACGUAUAGGGUCUGACGCCUGCCCGGUGCCGGAAGGUCACGAGGAGCCGUCAGCUUCGGCGAAGCGGCGAAUCCAAGCCCCGGUAAACGGCGGCCGUAACUAUAACGGUCCUAAGGUAGCGAAAUUCCUUGUCGGGUAAGUUCCGACCUGCACGAAAGGCGUAACGACUUGGACGCUGUCUCAACCAUGGCCCCGGCGAAAUUGCACUAGUCGUGAAGAUGCGACUUACCCGCAGAAGGACGGAAAGACCCCGUGAACCUUUACUGCAGCUUGGCAUUGGCCGCCGGUCCGUCGCGUAGAGGAUAGGUGGGAGACCGUGAACCCGGGACGCCAGUCCCGGGGGAGUCGCCCUUGGAAUACCACCCCCGACGAACUGGCGUCCUAACCCGCGGCCGUGACCCGGCGCGGGGACCGUGCCAGGUGGGUAGUUUGACUGGGGCGGUCGCCUCCCAAAGAGUAACGGAGGCGCGCGAAGGUCUGCUCUGGGCGGUCGGCAACCGCCCGUCUGAGUGCAAGAGCAUAAGCAGGCCUGACUGCGAGACGUACAGGUCGAGCAGGUGGGAAACCAGGCUCUAGUGAUCCGGCGGCCCGGCGUGGAACGGCCGUCGCUCAACGGAUAAAAGGUACUCCGGGGAUAACAGGCUGAUCUUCCCCAAGAGUCCACAUCGACGGGAAGGUUUGGCACCUCGAUGUCGGCUCAUCGCAUCCUGGGGCUGGAGCAGGUCCCAAGGGUAUGGCUGUUCGCCAUUCAAAGCGGUACGCGAGCUGGGUUCAGAACGUCGUGAGACAGUUCGGUCCCUAUCCUCUGUGGGCGUAGGAGAUCUGAGGGAGGCUGCCCCUAGUACGAGAGGACCGGGGUGGACGGACCUCCGGUGCACGGGUUGUUCACCAAGAGCACUGCCCGGUAGCUGAGUCCGGUCGGGAUAACCGCUGAAGGCAUCUAAGCGGGAAGCCCGUCCCGAGAUGAGAUCUCCCUUCGGUAAGGCCACUCGUAGACCACGAGUUCGAUAGGCCGCAGGUGCAAGGCGGGCGACCGCCUCAGCCGAGCGGCACUAAUCGGCCGAGCUCCUCCGCAU
rnacentral:rRNA from 1 species